GCCGCGGUAGCUCAGCCGGUAGAGCAGAGGACUGAAAAUCCUCGUGUCGGCGGUUCGAGUCCGCCCUGCGGCACCA
rnacentral:tRNA from 2 species